CUCGGUUUCAGGAGAGUUCUAAACUGCCCAGCUAUGGGGCGAGGAUUCCAAGUUGGCUUCUCAGCCCCUCCCUCCGCCAAGUGCCCCAUAAACGGCAGCUUCAGCCCCCUUCGCCCACGGCCUGUUUCCUCCCGGACGAACUGAGCGAACAACCCCGAACAUCUAUUGAGCGCCGGUUGCAUGCUGAGCGUUCAACCUGCUUCCUCAAAGUUCGUCCUCCCAACAGCCCACAAUGAGUGGGUAAACUGAGUUUCAGGUGUACAGCAUAACGGCUCAGUAUUUGUACAUGCUGUGACAUGCUCACCGCAGGAAGUCUGGUUGACAUCCAUCACCACUCAUAGGGAUCACGUCUGCAUCCUGGACAAAUCACCUACGCCUUUCUGUGUCUCAGUUUCCUCUUCUGUAAACUGGAGAGAACUAGCCCCUGGGAGGGCCAAUCUGGAUAGGCGGGCCAGGCUCCUGCCUCUGGGUGAACAAUCUCUGGGCUGCUGUUCCUGCUCCAGGCUCCUGGUGGGAUCAGGCUGAGGCCGGCCGUCAAGCUGGGCUCCCCUGGGUGGUGCUGCCACAUCAGCUGCUGCUACUUUUGUGUGUGUGUGGGUGUGGUAUGAACAUCUUAUUUUUGUAAGCAGAGAAAAGAGGUAUAAGAAUAAAGUUUUGGAAAAUGCCCUGGCCACAGUAAAUGCAUUAUCUCAAUCUUCACUGUGCCCUUGGAAGUUAGCAUGAUUAUCA
rnacentral:lncRNA from 1 species